UUCGCUCGUUUACCGUCGAUUAAGCUUUCGGCUUUAUGACUGGAACUGUCCUCGUUUGGACACCGAGUGGCUCCUGUCCACUCUGUUUGACGCCUCCCUGUUAUCAACUUUCAAAGCCGCCGGUCUUCCGGCGGCUCUUUUUUG
rfam:Bradyrhizobium japonicum TSDA 110 DNA, complete genome.